UCCCUGGUGGUUCAGAUGGUAAAGAAUCUGCCUGCAGUGCAGGAGACCCAGGUUUGAUCCCUGGUCAGGAAG
rnacentral:tRNA from 1 species